CGAUAGCGAACAAGUACUGUGAAAGAAAUUUGAAAAGGCGCCUUUAGGAGGGGUGGUUAAAAUUACGUGAAACGGUUGGCAGGGAAGCGUGGGUGAGUUUGAGAUGUAUAUUUUUCUAUAAAUGUAUAUAUUGAUUUUGACUUUUCGGUUUCUGGAGGGGAGUUGAAAUUUGAAUUUUCAAUCUACCCAUCUGAAAUGGGGAGUAAAAAUAUAUAAAAAAAUUGUGCCCUACUCUAGUAGGGACAAAUUUAAAAAAAUCAAAUAAACAAAACCCCCGACCCGUCUCGAAACACGGACCAAGGAUGCUACAUCGGCGGCGAGUCGCGGGGCAAAACACCCUGAGGCAAGGUGAAAGCAAGUUUGGCGGUCAGCCAACGGCAGUUUAAAAAUAAAAUUGAGCUAGCCGCCGGUGCAGGACCCGAAAGAUGGUGAACUAGGCUUGGCCAGGAUGAAGCCCGGGGAAACCCCGGUGGAAGUCCGAACAAGUGCUGACGUGCAAAUCGCUUUGGUGAGCCGAGUCUAGGGGCGAUAAACUAAUCGAACCAUCUAGUAGCUGGUUCCCUCUGAAAUGUCCCCCAGGAUAGCCGGGUCGGUUUGUUGAAAAAAUCAACCAACGGAGCUUCGCCCGGUAGAGCAAUGAUUAGGAGUGCUGAGGCCGGUCAAGUCUCGACUCAUGGUCAAACUACCAAUGGGCGAAAUGGCGGUGAUUGUCUGAGAUAGAAAUCAUCAUAACAAGUCUCCGACCCGAGUGGACCUGUUUUGGUAAGCAGAACUGGCGACGCGGGAUGAACCGAGGCCCCAGCUAAAGCGCCAAACUCGCACCCAGAGAAACCAGGAAAGGAGUCGGUCGAGUAAGACAGCGGGGCGAUGUCCCUGAAAGUAGGAAAUUCGCCAAGGRAAUGUCUAUCAACUCACCCGCCGAAUCGACGGGCCCUGAAAAAAGGAUGGCGCCCAAGUGCGGGGCCGAUGCUGGGGAAAUUUUUUUUUUAAAAUUUGGUAAGAGGGCGCGUUGGUCUCGGGCAAGGAUUUUUGUAAAUCAAUCUGGAGAGGCCAGCGGUGCAGAUCUUGGUGGUAGUAGCUAUAUUUGAUACUUUAUAUCAGGGCCGAAGCGGAGAAGGGUUUCGGGGCAACAGAAAAUGGCCCCGAGUAAGCCGGGCCUUAGUUUAAUAUUAAUUUUUUUUUAUUUCUCUCGAGUAGAGAAUUGGCGAAAGGGAAACUGGUUAAAAUUCCAGUGCCGGUUCUUGGUAGAUGUGUUUUUUUAUAUUUUUAAUCGACCCUAUCAAAAUUGGCAACAAAAUACAUUCAGAGAAAUGACCCGCCUCUUGUGGGCCUAGUAAAAAUAUCUAUUUUAUUCAACCCGACGCAGCCCCGGAAGUUAAUUUAUAAGAGAUGCGGCUGCCGACGGGAGCUAGUAAUUUUGAAAAUUAUUCUGCCCCACAGAGACGGCCAUGAAAAAUUUCUCAGAAAAAUUGAAUCGACCGUACCCAAUCCGCAUCAGGUCUCCUAGGUUAGAAACCUCUGGCCGCGGCACAAAGGGGGUAAGGGAAGUUGGCAAAAUGGACCCGUAACCUCGGGACAAGGGUUGGCUCUAUUGUAAAAAAAAUAGAACUUGUAAUGACCAGGGGAAUCCGACUGUCUAAUAAAAACACAGCUUUGCAACGGCCGCAAGCCGGCGUUGACGCAAAGUGAAUUCCGCACAGUGCUUCGAUUGUCAAGCGGUAGAAAUACAACCAAGCACGGGUAAAUUGCGGAAGUAACUAUGACUUUCUUAAGCUAGCCAAAUGCCUCGUCAUCUAAUUAGUGACGUGCAUGAAUGGACCAACGAGAUUCCCACUGUCCAUACCUUUUGGCCGGCGAAACCACAGCCAAGGGAACGGGCUUGGCUGAGACAGCGGGGAAAGAAGACCCUGUUGUGCUUGACUCUAGUUUGUAUAGUUGCGGGGCGAUGUGGGUGUAGCAAGGUGGGAGUUUUCUUGAAAUUUUCCCUAUCUAUAUGGGCAUUUUCACUAGACAAAAUUGAAAGACCACUGCCACAUUUGCCCCGUAACUAAGUUUAUAAUUUCUACUUGUCCGUCAAUUAUAGGAAUCGACAAAAACAAAAUAUACAAGUCGGGAGUUUGACUGGGGCGGUACACCUUGACAAUUUCAACCAAGGUGCCCAAAGGCGGGCUCACAGCGGCCAGAGCCCGCAGGUUGAGCGAAAGGGCACAAGCCUGCUUGAUUCUCGCCUUCAGUACGGGCGAAAACCGUGAAAGCGCGGCCUAUCGAUCCUCGGCCCAUUUAAAUUAUAAAUUUAGAAAUGUAGGCGCGUUACAGCCGGGGUGUCAGAAAAGUUACCACAGGGAUAACUGGCUUGUGGCAGCCAAGCGUUCACAGCGACGUUGCUUUUUGAUCCUUCGAUGUCGGCUCUUCCUA
rnacentral:rRNA from 1 species